AGGACACGCUGGCGGCGUGCCUAAUACAUGCAAGUCGAACGGUCUUUUCUAUGGAAGCUUGCUUCCACUGAGAAGAUAGUGGCGAACGGGUGAGUAACACGUGGGUAACCUGCCCAUAAGAGGGGGAUAACAUCCGGAAACGGGUGCUAAUACCGCAUAGUUUUCUUGAUCGCAUGAUCGGGAAAGGAAAGACGGCCUUUGUGCUGUCGCUUAUGGAUGGACCCGCGGCGUAUUAGUUAGUUGGUGAGGUAACGGCUCACCAAGACGAUGAUACGUAGCCGACCUGAGAGGGUGAUCGGCCACAUUGGGACUGAGACACGGCCCAAACUCCUACGGGAGGCAGCAGUAGGGAAUCUUCCGCAAUGGACGAAAGUCUGACGGAGCAACGCCGCGUGAGUGAAGAAAAGGUUUUCGGAUCGUAAAACUCUGUUGUCAGAGAAGAACAAGUUGGAGAGUAACUGCUCCAGCCUUGACGGUAUCUGACCAGAAAGCCACGGCUAACUACGUGCCAGCAGCCGC
rnacentral:rRNA from 1 species